rnacentral:rRNA from 1 species
GACGAACGCUGGCGGCGUGCCUAAUACAUGCAAGUCGAACGCAUUUUCUCUCAUCGUAGCUUGCUCUACCGAAAGAAAGUGAGUGGUGACCGGGUGAGUAACUCGUGGGUAACCUGCCCAACAGCGGGGGAAAACACUCGGAUACAGGUGCUAAUAUCGCAUAAUUCCAUUUACCGCUUGGAAGAUGGAUGAAAGGCGCUUUUGCGUCACCGAUGCAUGGACCCGCGGUGCAUUGGCUAGUUGGUGGGGUAACGGCCUACCAAGGCUGCGAUGCAUACCCGACCUGAGAGGGUGAGCGGCCGGACUGGGACGGAGACACGGCCCAGACGGCUACGGGAGGCAGCAGUAGUGAUUCUGCAGCAAUGGACGCAAGUCUGACCGAGCAACGCCGCGUGAGUGAGGAAGGUUGUCGGGUUGGAAAACUCUGUUGUUAGGGAGGAACAAGGAUGAGAGUGGGAAGUUCAGCCCUUGACGGUAACGAGCCAAGAAGCCACGGCUAACUACGUG